AAUCAGAUGUAAGGUGGAGUUAUGAUGUCCUCUUGUGUUCUGAGCUUCACAGUAAUAUCUCCCACUGUGAUCAGCACUGAAGUUAGAGAUGGUGAAGAUCUGUCCUGAAGCUGUUGAUUCUGGCAGUCU